GAUUAGACCCCCGUGACCUCCGACUCCCAAGCCCAGGCUCUUUCCACUGAGCCACGCUGCUUCUGGCGCUCAAAGGUGAAGAUGGUUCAUCGCACUCAAAGGAGAUGGGAGAGCAUCCCCCUGCAGGGAACUCUCCUGGAGUACCAAGUGUGGCCCACUCUCUGCCUGUUCCGAAAAAUUUGCUGUCCAGCUGGGCCCCAGGAUGCCAAGGAUGCCAAGGAGAGGAAAGGGGCUGAGGGGCCUGGCACACGUCCGGACUAGAGUCCCUGGUCACUCCUGCCCGCUUGGGCCCUGGCCGAUCACCCGUGCCCACGGUUCCAGCUCUCCGCGGAGUCCCACCAGUCUACUGCACCGAUCAGGUCAGCUGGAAAUUCGUCCCCGGCCCCCUCCCAAGAGGGCCCCAGGUCCCAAGCCUUGGCACAUAGUAAGCAUUAACA